rnacentral:ncRNA from 1 species
GCCGAUAAAGGCAAACCCAUCGCGAGAUGGGGACGCAAAGCCGCGGGUCAGGUCACGAACCUGACAGUCGGGCUCCCGAAG